rnacentral:rRNA from 1 species
GCUUUUCGUAGCGCCCGCUUGUGUAAUUUUUCACUUCCGGAACCCUUCCCCCCCCCCCUCUUUUAAAAAAAAGCCCUUGGGUUUAUACACUCUCUCCUGGCGAGAGAAGAAGGAGACGCUACCCCCGAAAAAANGNCNCCCGNNCG